CAGAACUUACGUGGGCUCCCACUUAAAGGCGAAGUUGCAGUUGCGGGGGGAAAGAAAAACAAAAAAUAUAUAUAUAUGAUAGGCAGUUCAGAGAGCAGAUCUCAAAGAGUUCUUAAGUCAAGUUUGGUUUGAUUUCUUUGAAACUACUGAUAUGUUUUUUAAUAAUACCCCAUUGUACUCUCAUUUUAAUAAAUGCAGAUCAUAUGACCCCAUUAAACCACAGCUUUUUUCUCAGAUGAAAGGAUUUUUUUUCAAAUUCUUGUGCUAUAAAAAAAUUUAAAUCUGUAGCAAAUACUUAUAAAAUUAAGAUUCAAGUAGGCUUUUAAAAGCACUUGGAUGUUGUUAGCUUACAAAAAUAUGCCCAGGCUUCCUCCUAGCUGCUAGAAUUUUUUCUUUCUCACAAUGGCUCUGGCUCAUAAUGCGGCCAUCAGAAUCAUGGUUCCUGGUUUUAUCUUUCCAUAGCCCUUAGUCCUUGUUCUGCUAUGAUUGAGUUGACUCUCCUAGUGACUCUCUAGUCUGAACCCUUCUUAGUAACUGUGAAAACUGAAGUUAGAAGGGAGAGUAAUAGGGUGGUUUUUAUUAUGUAACUAACACUUAUUACGGGUUAAUUAUUCCAGAACAACAAACAAAAAAACAAGUGUACUUAACAACACACAACAACACAAAAUAGCAGGUGCAAAUUAUUGAAUGUGUCGGUGGCUUUGUGUU
rnacentral:lncRNA from 1 species